GACGAACGCUGGCGGCGUGCUUAACACAUGCAAGUCGAACGAUGAAGCUGGAGCUUGCUCCAGCGGAUUAGUGGCGAACGGGUGAGUAACACGUGAGCAAUCUGCCCUUGACUCUGGGAUAACUCCGGGAAACUGUAGCUAAAACCGGAUACGAAAUUGGAAGGCAUCUUAAGUUCUGGAAAGAAUUUCGGUCAAGGAUGAGCUCGCGGCCUAUCAGCUAGUUGGUGAGGUAAUGGCUCACCAAGGCGACGACGGGUAGCCGGCCUGAGAGGGUGACCGGCCACACUGGAACUGAGACACGGUCCAGACUCCUACGGGAGGCAGCAGUGGAGAAUAUUGCACAAUGGGCGAAAGCCUGAUGUAGCAACGCCGCGUGAGGGAUGAAGGCCUUCGGGUUGUAAACCUCUUUUAGUAGGGAAGAAGCGAAAGUGACGGUACCUACAGAAAAAGCACCGGCUAACUACGUGCCAGCAGCCGCUGUAA
rnacentral:rRNA from 1 species